CACGAAGUUAGCCGGGGCUUCUUCUCCGGUUACCGUCAUUAUCUUCACCGGUGAAAGAGCUUUACAACCCUAGGGCCUUCAUCACUCACGCGGCAUGGCUGGAUCAGGCUUGCGCCCAUUGUCCAAUAUUCCCCACUGCUGCCCUCCCGUAGGAGUCUCGGGCCGUGUCUCAGUCCCAGUGUGGCUGAUCAUCCUCUCAGACCAGCUAUGGAUCGUCGCCUUGGUAGGCCUUUACCCCACCAACUAGCUAAUCCAACGCGGGCCGAUCAUUUGCCGAUAAACUCUUUCCCCUUUCGGGCUCAUACGGUAUUAGCACAAGUUUCCCUGAGUUAUUCCGUAGCAAAUGGUACGUUCCCACGCGUUACUCACCCGUCUGCCGCUCCCCUUGCGGGCGCUCGACUUGCAUGUGUUAAGCCUGCCGCCAGCGUCGUUCUGAGCCAGGAUCAAACUC
rnacentral:rRNA from 1 species